GAUCUCCCAACUGAAUAAAAACAAAUAUUGGAGGAGAAGUAUGGAGGACCGGAAGAGACAAAGUGAAAUAAAUAUGCACGCCAGUAAAUUGUUGAAUAAAGGCGUCAUUAAUUAUUUAAAAUUGUCAUUAAUUAUUUAAAAUUGAAAAUAAAUCAAUAAAUGUUUAAAUAUAUGUGGCAUUCAAAUAUCAAAAUAGCCAUUGAAAACCAGAUUUAAAUAUUUCAUAGUCCAGUGUGGGCUGAAAGGUACAAAUUGGAAUAGAUACAUUUAAUAGGAAAUUAUUAAAUUUGUAUGCCAUUAGUCAUUUAAAAUUGGAGAUAAAUAAAUAAAAUUGGAAAUUAAUUAAUGUUUAAAUGUGAGUCAUUAGAAUAGCCAUUAAAUGCUGUUAUUGCCACUGUUUUGUAAGUAUCCUCAGAAUUGUCAUAAGUUUCUGUCAACAAAUAUUUUCUGUGGUUGUCCCUCAAAAAUUGUCCAUUAGGGGGCGGUAAUGAGACCAUCAACAUUGUCAUGUGACUUCAGCGCUAAAAGCUGGUUUCCGGUUUACAGAGCGGCGGUUUCAUGAGGUUUUUGUAUGCAUGGAAACCUCGUAAGUCCGUAGGUACAACAUCUUAAGAUGUCAGAGAAGCAGCGCGCGCUGCCUCUUUGGAUGUCAAACAAAAAUGUGAAGAAGAAGACGACGCCUCUGAAGAGUCAAAGAAAAGGAAAAGCUGAGAGGGUGCUUUUCUACUGCAUGAAUGAGGCCGAGCUGGUCGAAGCAGCUGUUCGGUGUCUAACCAGCAGUUCCCCAAUUUACCAACAGAUUUCUAAAAAGGCAAGCAACGCAAGAGAAAAAGUAAAGAAACCUUUGACGUCACCCAAAAGAUUAAAGCAGAUUUCAGAGGAAAAAGACUGGGACUGCUGCGAUUACCCGGAGACGACCUAUGUUUCUGAGACGGACUUGGACGUCACAGAAGUGGAGACGCUGCCGUACACCAGGAGCCCUGAGGCUGAGAGGUCACACCAGAAUCAACGGACUGUGAGGAACGCCGAUGCUGAAGCUGAGGGAGAACAGGAGAAACCAACAGAGGAUGCAGCACAUCAAGAGGACGAGGCGUUACAACUUGUGCGGGACAUUUUUUUCACCUGAUCACUGUUGUUGUAAAUAGAAUUUCUUUAAGGUAAAAGUAAAGUAAAAUCCUCAACAUGUCAUGAAAAUAUUGAGGUAAUCUUAAUGUAAAGACAGCUAUUUCACAUUAAAGUUUAAGUUUAAAAAAUAUCUUACUAUCGGAAUUGUCUUCAAACUUAAAAUACAAUAAAACUCCAGACUUCCUGUAGUUUUAAAUGAUUCUUCUUUAUUAACUUGGCUUGUUUCCUAAUGGUCAUGCCAUACAAAACCUCAUGGGAUCUCAAGAGGUUAUUGCAGAAAAACCUCCCUUCAGAUAAAAGCAUAUUGGUACAUUUUUAGUUUGUGAAAAAUGAAAGUCAUGGCAGCUGUGAUGACCCUAAUGACUCAGAUACUUUAUAAUAAAGAACAUUUGCCAUUAUUGGCCUCCUGUUGUGUGAAAAAAAACAGCCUUUAUCAAAAUGUUCAUAUUUAAGUAGGUUGGAUCAACAUAAAUAUUUGUUUAGUCAAGUGUAAGUCAGGGGGAAACGGUUGUACAUAUAAUGAAACUAUUAUGAAAAAGCCUUUUACUAAGGUGGUAUUUGUUGUGGUUAUAACACGAAGGCCCUCCUUCAUUAAUAACACAGAAUGGACAGUCACAACAAAUCAUUAGUUAGCAGUCUGAUACUAUGUGUGGGAACCAGAUCUACAAUUAAAAAAAAGGCCAAGCAUGGAUACAAAAGACCAAACUGAGAACAAACAUCUGCUCCACCAGGAGAGCUUCAGUGUCACCCACUGCGGGGCAGUUCAUGACGACCACACCACUAAAGUGUUUAUAGGAACAUCUAUGUAAAAUCUUGAGAGCCCUGCUAUAAAUACCCAGCUUUAAAAAAAAAAGCAGCUGAAACACUACAUUAAACAUAUGUAAUAAGAUUUUAUUUAAAAACUGUUUUUAAAAAAUUAAACGAUAUCCCCACUUAAGUGAACAAACAUGGAAGAGAGUCAGAGCUGGAUGAAUUGGGAGGGUAAGAAGUUUUCUGCUGUUCAUUCACUUUUG
rnacentral:lncRNA from 1 species